rnacentral:rRNA from 1 species
ACUCAGGUGUUGUUGGGUAGGGGAGCGUUCUGUAAGCCUGCGAAGGUGGCCUGUGAGGGUUGCUGGAGGUAUCAGAAGUGCGAAUGCUGACAUAAGUAACGAUAAAGCGGGUGAAAAGCCCGCUCGCCGGAAGACCAAGGGUUCCUGUCCAACGUUAAUCGGGGCAGGGUGAGUCGACCCCUAAGGCGAGGCCGAAAGGCGUAGUCGAUGGGAAACGGGUUAAUAUUCCCGUACUUGGUGUUACUGCGAAGGGGGGACGGAGAAGGCUAUGUUGGCCGGGCGACGGUUGUCCCGGUUUAAGCGUGUAGGUGUGUGUUCCAGGUAAAUCCGGUUCACUUUAACACUGAGGCGUGACGACGAGGCACUACGGUGCUGAAGCAACAAAUGCCCUGCUUCCAGGAAAAGCCUCUAAGCAUCAGGUAACAUCAAAUCGUACCCCAAACCGACACAGGUGGUCAGGUAGAGAAUACCAAGGCGCUUGAGAGAACUCGGGUGAAGGAACUAGGCAAAAUGGUGCCGUAACUUCGGGAGAAGGCACGCUGACACGUAGGUGAAGUGAUUUACUCACGGAGCUGAAGUCAGUCGAAGAUACCAGCUGGCUGCAACUGUUUAUUAAAAACACAGCACUGUGCAAACACGAAAGUGGACGUAUACGGUGUGACGCCUGCCCGGUGCCGGAAGGUUAAUUGAUGGGGUCAGCGCAAGCGAAGCUCCUGAUCGAAGCCCCGGUAAACGGCGGCCGUAACUAUAACGGUCCUAAGGUAGCGAAAUUCCUUGUCGGGUAAGUUCCGACCUGCACGAAUGGCGUAAUGAUGGCCAGGCUGUCUCCACCCGAGACUCAGUGAAAUUGAACUCGCUGUGAAGAUGCAGUGUACCCGCGGCAAGACGGAAAGACCCCGUGAACCUUUACUAUAGCUUGACACUGAACAUUGAGCCUUGAUGUGUAGGAUAGGUGGGAGGCUUUGAAGUGUGGACGCCAGUCUGCAUGGAGCCGACCUUGAAAUACCACCCUUUAAUGUUUGAUGUUCUAACGUGGACCCGUGAUCCGGGUUGCGGACAGUGUCUGGUGGGUAGUUUGACUGGGGCGGUCUCCUCCUAAAGAGUAACGGAGGAGCACGAAGGUUGGCUAAUCCUGGUCGGACAUCAGGAGGUUAGUGCAAUGGCAUAAGCCAGCUUGACUGCGAGCGUGACGGCGCGAGCAGGUGCGAAAGCAGGUCAUAGUGAUCCGGUGGUUCUGAAUGGAAGGGCCAUCGCUCAACGGAUAAAAGGUACUCCGGGGAUAACAGGCUGAUACCGCCCAAGAGUUCAUAUCGACGGCGGUGUUUGGCACCUCGAUGUCGGCUCAUCACAUCCUGGGGCUGAAGUAGGUCCCAAGGGUAUGGCUGUUCGCCAUUUAAAGUGGUACGCGAGCUGGGUUUAGAACGUCGUGAGACAGUUCGGUCCCUAUCUGCCGUGGGCGCUGGAGAACUGAGGGGGGCUGCUCCUAGUACGAGAGGACCGGAGUGGACGCAUCACUGGUGUUCGGGUUGUCAUGCCAAUGGCACUGCCCGGUAGCUAAAUGCGGAAGAGAUAAGUGCUGAAAGCAUCUAAGCACGAAACUUGCCCCGA